rnacentral:rRNA from 1 species
UACAGAGGGUGCAAGCGUUGUUCGGAAUUAUUGGGCGUAAAGGGCGCGUAGGCGGCCACGCACGUCCGUUGUGAAAUCGCCCGGCUCAACUGGGCGGGGUCAGCGGAUACGGUGUGGCUCGAGCAAGCUAGGGGGCAAUGGAAUUCCCGGUGUAGUGGUGGAAUGCGUAGAUAUCGGGAGGAACACCAGUGGCGAAGGCGGUUGCCUGGAGCUUUGCUGACGCUGAGGCGCGAAAGCGUGGGGAGCGAGCCGG